rnacentral:rRNA from 1 species
AGAGUUUGAUCAUGGCUCAGGACGAACGCUGGCGGCGUGCUUAACACAUGCAAGUCGAGCGGAAAGGCCCUUCGGGGUACUCGAGCGGCGAACGGGUGAGUAACACGUGAGUAACCUGCCCUCAGCUUUGGGAUAAGCCUGGGAAACUGGGUCUAAUACCGGAUACGACCACUUGGGGCAUCUUGAGUGGUGGAAAGUUU